rnacentral:rRNA from 1 species
GACGAACGCUGGCGGCGUGCCUAAUACAUGCCAGUCGAACGCACUCUCGUUUAGAUUGAAGGAGUUUGCUCCUGAUUGAUAAACAUUUGAGUGAGUGGCGGACGGGUGAGUAACACGUGGGUAACCUGCCCUAAAGUGGGGGAUAACAUUUGGAAACAGAUGCUAAUACCGCAUAAAACCUAACACCGCAUGGUGUAGGGUUGAAAGAUGGUUUCGGCUAUCACUUUAGGAUGGACCCGCGGUGCAUUAGUUAGUUGGUGAGGUAAAGGCUCACCAAGACCGUGAUGCAUAGCCGGCCUGAGAGGGUAAUCGGCCACACUGGGACUGAGACACGGCCCAGACUCCUACGGGAGGCAGCAGUAGGGAAUCUUCCACAAUGGACGAAAGUCUGGUGGAGCAACGCCGCGUGAGUGAAGAAGGUUUUCGGAUCGUAAAACUCUGUUGUUGGAGAAGAAUGUAUCUGAUAGUAACUGAUCAGGUAGUGACGGUAUCCAACCAGAAAGCCACGGCUAACUACGUG